AGCAGCUAUAUGUUCCAAGUACAUGUCAAAAUCUGGUAAGUGUUUUUCAUAUACAUCUAAUUUAUUGAUCUGUUUGGGUUUUUUUGUGUUUUGUUUCCUGCUCUUAUAUGCAUUGUCUUAAGUUUGCACAGACAUACUCAACAUCCAACUAUGUGGCUGGAACAAGCAAAAGGCAGAAAACCUUUUGACCGAAAAAGACCGAGCAUUGACCAAAAGAUACAUCAAGACUGUACAAAGGGUUGCAGAGGCAGCAACAGACCUUGACAGACUCACCGCAGAGUUGAAUCUAAAGGAAGACACACUCCAAACAUGGGUGUCAGAUGUCCAGCAGUGGGCUACAGGAUCAACAAGUCAAAAUGACUUGCAGCAGACCAUUGAGGGACUGUAUCUGAGCAUCAAUCAGCGGAAAUUUCAGCUGUAUCGUCAGAUAGG